CGUAGGGGCAAGCGUUGUCCGGAAUCAUUGGGCGUAAAGAGCGUGUAGGCGGCCAGAAAAGUCCGCUGUGAAAACUCGAGGCUCAACUUCGAGCUGUCGGUGGAAACUUUCUGGCUAGAGUCCGGAAGAGGAGAAUGGAAUUCCUGGUGUAGCGGUGAAAUGCGCAGAUAUCAGGAAGAACACCCGUGGCGAAGGCGGUUCUCUGGGACGGUACUGACGCUGAGACGCGAAAGCGUGGGGAGCGAACAGGAUU
rnacentral:rRNA from 1 species